rnacentral:rRNA from 1 species
GGCAGCAGCCGCGGUAACACCGGCAGCUCUAGUGGUAGCUGUUUUAUUGGGCCUAAAGCGUUCGUAGCCGGUUUAAUAAGUCUCUGGUGAAAUCCUAUAGCUUAACUGUGGGAAUUGCUGGAGAUACUAUUAGACUUGAGAUCGGGAGAGGUCAGAGGUACUCCUGGGGUAGGGGUGAAAUCCUGUAAUCCUAGGAGGACCACCUGUGGCGAAGGCGUCUGACUAGAACGAAUCUGACGGUGAGGAACGAAAGCUAGGGGCGCGAACCGGAUUAGAUACCCGGGUAGUCCUAGCCGUAAACUAUGCGGACUUGGUGUGAGGGUGGCUUUGAGCCGUCCUGGUGCCGAAGGGAAGCUGUUAAGUCCGCCGCCUGGGAAGUACGGUCGCAAGACUGAAACUUAAAGGAAUUGGCGGGGAGCACCACAACGCGUGGAGCCUGCGGUUUAAUUGGAUUCAACGCCGGAGAUCUCACCAGCGGCGACAGCAGUAUGAUGACCAGGUUGAUGACUUUGUUUGACAAGCUGAGAAGAGGUGCAUGG